GGGGAAUAUUGGACAAUGGGCGAAAGCCUGAUCCAGCCAUGCCGCGUGGAUGAUGAAGGCCCUAGGGUUGUAAAGUCCUUUCGACGGGGAAGAUAAUGACGGUACCCGUAGAAGAAGCCCCGGCUAACUUCGUGCCAGCAGCCGCGGUAAUACGAAGGGGGCUAGCGUUGCUCGGAAUCACUGGGCGUAAAGCGCACGUAGGCGGCUCGUUAAGUCAGGGGUGAAAUCCUGGAGCUCAACUCCAGAACUGCCCUUGAUACUGGUGAGCUCGAGUCCGGGAGAGGUGAGUGGAACUGUGAGUGUAGAGGUGAAAUUCGUAGAUAUUCGCAAGAACACCAGUGGCGAAGGCGGCUCACUGGCCCGGUACUGACGCUGAGGUGCGAAAGCGUGGGGAGCAAAC
rnacentral:rRNA from 1 species